rnacentral:lncRNA from 1 species
GUAACAUCCUUUGUUUUAGAAGCUUUUCUAUGUUCCUCAUCGCUACGUAACUUCCUUUGUUUUAGAAGCUCUUCUAUGUUCCUCAUCACUAGAGAAAACCCGAAGUCAGAAGCACGCCGGCAUCCACUUGCGGCCGCCCUGCCUGAAUAUGACAUGGAUGGGUGUGACCAACGUAGAGUCUUCAGGAGGCUCGGUUUGUGCCUUUUGGCAAGCUUUUCCUGAGGCUGAUCAAGUCGGGCCUGUCUAUCAGCUGAAAUCUCCCGGUGAUGCCUGUUCUGACCACCAGAAAGGACCUUGAGUUUCAAGCAGUGUUUCUGUUUAAUUUCUGCGUGUGCAUUUAUUACUGCUUGAACAUUCUCAGGAGUUUUAAACCUAGCAUGGCAUUCUGUAUCUCCUUCUAGAAAUCAACAUAAACAACUUCUGGGAUCACUGCCAAGUAUUCUGUACAAAAUCACUCCUGACUUAAAAUUCGUGUAAAAAUCGUUCAACUUUUUGCAACUCAUGAAAACGUUUCA